rnacentral:rRNA from 1 species
UACGUAGGGAGCAAGCGUUGUCCGGAUUCACUGGGUGUAAAGGGUGCGCAGGCGGGAGAGUAAGUCAGAGGUGAAAUCUCACAGCUUAACUGUGAAACUGCCUUUGAUACUGCUUUUCUUGAGUUCGGGAGAGGUUGAUGGAAUUCCAGGUGUAGCGGUGAAAUGCGUAGAUAUCUGGAAGAACACCAGUGGCGAAGGCGGUCAACUGGCCCGUAACUGACGCUCAGGCACGAAAGCGUGGGGAGCAAA